GACGAACGCUGGCGGCGUGCCUAAUACAUGCAAGUAGAACGCACAGUUUAUACCGUAGCUUGCUACACCAUAGACUGUGAGUUGCGAACGGGUGAGUAACGCGUAGGUAACCUGCCUGGUAGCGGGGGAUAACUAUUGGAAACGAUAGCUAAUACCGCAUAAUAUUAAUUAUUGCAUGAUAAUUAAUUGAAAGGUGCAAUUGCACCACUACCAGAUGGACCUGCGUUGUAUUAGCUAGUAGGUGAGGUAACGGCUCACCUAGGCGACGAUACAUAGCCGACCUGAGAGGGUGAUCGGCCACACUGGGACGGAGACACGGCACAGACGCCUACGGGAGGCAGCAGUAGGGAAACGUCGGCAAGGGGCGAAAGUCUGACCGAGCAACGCGGAGGGAGUGAAGAGGGUUUUCGGAUCGUAAAGCUCGGUUGUAAGAGAAGAACGGGUGUGAGAGUGGAAAGUUCACACUGUGACGGUAUCUUACCAGAAAGGGACGGCUAACUACGUG
rnacentral:rRNA from 1 species